GCGGGGGCACGGGGGGCCUACGGGAGGCAGCAGUGGGGAAUUUUGGACAAUGGGCGCAAGCCUGAUCCAGCCAUGCCGCGUGCAGGAUGAAGGCCUUCGGGUUGUAAACUGCUUUUGUACGGAACGAAACGGCCUUUUCUAAUAAAGAGGGCUAAUGAGCGUACGUAAGAURCGAUUCAAUUCA
rnacentral:rRNA from 1 species